AUUUCAUGGUUUAACAUAUAAAACUGUUGAGCACCCAAAACCAGCAACUCGACUCUAGCAGGAGCAGAGUUCUGCUCCUCCAAACACUGAACUACACGUCAGCUACUGCACCCACACAGUGCUCAGUAUCUCUCUGAUCACCAAGAGCAGCACCCAGGAGAUGUUUGUGAUGCCUCUCCAGUGAGGAAGGGGCCUUGGGAGAGCACUCCUGAAGGCAAGCAGCACACAACAGGCUGAGCAAACUGGUCUUUCCCCUCUAUCUGCAGAGAACAGCUCUACAUCAAGGGCACUGGAUGGCAGGGGAAAAAGAGAACACUAUUUUGUCUGGAAGGCUGAGUUAUUUCUUUUCCUGCACUAAAUUUAAAGCCACAAAGGUAACCGUAACAAGAUCCAGUCCAGUGACAAACUUCUCUUAUCAGCACCAUGUUUACUCAGAGGAAGCUACUGAGAACAGAAAACAUGCCAGGCAAUUUUUUGAUUUUUUUUUCUCCUUUCUUCCUUUCUUUCUUUCUUUCUUUUUUUUUUUUAAAGCCAUGAAAAUCAAUACUGCUUAUUGAACCCCCCCCCCCAGCAGUUUUCUUACGAGGGGGAGGCUGCACUUAUUUACCUCUUGAAGGAUAUCUUUCUUAAGGAAUAAAGCAAAAUCUGGUAGUGUAUCUCAAGUUAAAAGAAUAAUUUGCCCAGGAAGUUGAAAUUGUGAUGAAGUACAUGGAGUUAUUCUGCCAGUGGAAAUCAGAAGGGUCACAGUCUGAUCACUGAACACAGUGCAGGUUUUAAGCUCAAGUUAAAUGAAGAAAUGUUGGGAGCUCUGUGUUUUAUCAGGGAACAAAUGUUCCUGCAGUUCGGACAUCUGAAAAUUGGGUUUACCUGGAAGAGCCAUAGCAGGGACAAGACACAGAACAUAACAGAUACCUACUGCUGGGCUGCCAGGGCAGAUGUCAGCUCUUAUUUCUGCAGCAGGAGUCGUGGAAAAGGCUUUUUGGUAACAUGUUCUUCACUUUUCUUUUUCUUUUUUCUUUUUUAGUAGGACUACAGUGUGAGUUUAAGUAUCAAAAAUAGUUCCCUUGUGGGCAAGAAGGAAGAGGCCAAGCACUGGUCUUACUUUCUCCAUCUCAGCCCACUUUACUUCAUCGUGAACGCCCAGAGAUGCUGUGGUCAGCUAAAUAAAGAAGUCACACAAAGGAGCCAGAAGGCGGCUGCAGAAUGAGCUCCUUGUUGGGGGGACCGUGCUGCAGGUACAGAUGCAGUACCGGCUUGACCGCAUCCUGCCUGGCCCGGCCCGGCAGCCAGCCACAGUGCUCCAUUCUUCCCUAAAAUACACAGGCACCAAAGGGCUUUAGCAGCUACGGACUGGACUGCACAUGCAGCCAGACAGUUUUGGAGCAGGAAGGUCUUGGUUAAGUCACUGAACUGCAACUUCAGUCCAUCUUUUCUCUCUUAAGCAAUAAGCAAUUCUUUCCACAGAUGGCCAUGGGGUUUCUCAGUUCUGUGGGCUUGGGUGAAGAUCACAAAAAUAAACACAGUAAAUGUUUCAAGUCUUUGCUGUGUAGAACCUUUUACUCUACGCUGGUUAACUAUGUUUGCAAAACAGCUGUCCCUCAGUUAAAACAGUAUGUGCAAAAAAAUACAGCUACUGAACAUCUUGCAACCUGCUUCUGUUUUCUGAGGUCCAGGCUAUGUUUGGUCUACAUGAAAACAGAGGCUUAAACUUCAGGUGGCCAAGCAAAGCACCCUUUCACACACAGCACUGCGCUUGGAUGCCCCUAGUCCGUAUAAACUGCUACUGGACACUCAUAAUCCCUUGGGAUUCAGAGCGGAGCAUUUAGCUGAAGCAAACUCUUUCAGGGUUAGGUGACAAGGAGCUGGGUGCUUAUUUGUUUAAACCAGAAUCGAUAGCAGAGACUGACAAGGCCUGGAAUUGCACAAGGUUUGGCCAUGCAUAAGCUUGGUUUUCUUGCAUUUAAAUUUCCCUGUCAGCUGUAGGCAGCGUUCCAGCUUGUGAAGUUUUGCUGAAAUUGGAAGCAACACCAAGCUUGGCAGAAAUGUGAUUGUAAGGUUUAAUUGAAAGAGUAAGCUCGCUAUUACAAAUUAAUGUGGAGAAGGCAGCCAUGGUGGAAUCUGUCUUCGGUUCCAUAUGGCCCUCCACUGCUCAUUGAUCACACAGCCUGCUCUCAUGCAUUUAUCCUCACAGGAGUCUCUCCGCUUGCUGAGAACUAUUACCCCCUUCUUACAGCUGGAAAAUAGGAGAUCGGAGAGUUACCUGCCUUGCUCAGAGGCACUGAAAGAAACUGAUCAUGGAUAACUGCUAAUCUUUUCUUCUUUUCCAGAUUGCUUAUAAUGUUUCCCUAAUGAAAAAUCACUUCUUAUCUGAUAAACUUACAUUAUGCACUGCAGAUGAAACCAAAAGCAACAGUGUCAUUUAAAAAUAAAUCGUUAAAAGCCAACAUGGUUUUAGCAAUUUACUACAAUUCACUUUGAUUUUCAGUUUUUCCUGCGAAAAGAUCUCCAGCAUAAUCUUAUGAGCGAAUGAAACAGGAAAUGUUAAAACAGACUUGGUUGAUUACUGAUGAUCCCCGAGUCACAAUUCUCCUCCUUCCAUGGAAAGUUGCUUUCCUUCUUUCCUCCACAAAACGACAGAGUUAUUUUUUCCUGACAGAACAUGUCUUAUCAUCAGAGAGGACAAAGACAAUGACAUAUCAGUUAAAGCAGGUUAAGCAUCUCCGUAGCAGAGGAAUUUUGCCCUGAACUUCACAGAUGUCUUCAUUAUAGCCACCCUGGGUCAGAUGACGUUGGCUCUUCCUGCUGCUUAAGUCACCAUCACAGAUAAUAAACCCUUGUUCAUGUCACCCUCUCUUUCCAGGAAAAAGUUUCUGGUAGGAGGCUGUGAGGUCUGGCAGAGAUAUGUGCAUGCUCAGAAAAUACAGCUUGUGUUUGAAUAUCAUUCUAUACUGUA